UUCCACGGUCUGGCGAGAUUGAAAUGUUCAGUCACACAUGACAGACCUGGGCUAGAGUCUGCGAGGGACCGUGGUGUGUGUGUGAUGGUGAUCCUGGAAGGUUGAAGGGGUGGCGUCACUUCAGGUUUCAUCCGUACACACGAGGUGUGUCCUGAGGGACUGGACUUUCAGUGAGCACAUCACGAUACAGAUGACCUCAGCAGACACUUCUUGGGGACUACCACAGAGAUCCCGAGACAGGGCCAAGGAGAGAGGCAAUUCAUAUGUGAUUUGCCAUUGAAUUGUUAAGGCUCUUUGAUCAGGCCACAGGAAAUCUAACCACUGCAGACCCCGGCAGAACACAAGACAAUCAAUCCUCUUUUGAGUCCUACUUGUUUUUAUGUCCUAUGCAGCUACAGGAUCCUGAUACUUUUGGACCCCCCCCCCCCGCACCCAAGGAAAGAGAGGAUCUAAGUACCGAAUCUCUUGAACCAGUGUAGAUACUUCUAGGCAGA
rnacentral:lncRNA from 1 species